AUAAAAGCAAUGAUGAGACGAUUAAGUAAGAAAGAAGCGUACAGAGACCCUGAUAGUUGCUGAGAAAAGGCACGGACGUCUUACUGAAAAAACCUCGGAGCUGCGCGUGGGAAAUAGAAAGCUGUUGAUCAUGCGACGAAAGCCCUCGUUAACGGGAGUAGGUAUCGCGGAGCAUCCGCCGUACCGGAUGAGGCUCGAUUUUUAUCUCGAGCAUAUUGAGGUGGUACCGCGACGAACAAUCGCCCUCAAG
rnacentral:ncRNA from 1 species